rnacentral:rRNA from 1 species
UAUUUUGACUAUACAAAGGUAUUGUAAUAAGAUUUUAAUUGAAUGCUAAAAGAAUGGAAAAUUAAAAAAAAACUUUUUUAAAAAUAAAAAUUGAAUUUUUUUUAAUUUGUGCAAAAACAAUUAUAUUUAUUAAAGACAAGAAGACCCUAAGAAUUUAAGAUUUUACAAUUAAAAAGUUUUUUUUUUAAAAUCUUGAUUGGGGCGAUCAAAAAAUAUUAAUAACUUUUUAAAAUUUAAAUUGAUCUAUUAUUAAUAAACUAAUGAAUUAAAUACUCUAGGGAUAACAGCGUAAUAAUUUUUGAUAGAUCUUAUUGACAAAAUAGUUUGCGACCUCGAUGUUGGAUUAGGAUUCUUUUUUAAUGAAGAAGUUAAAAAAAGAAGUUUGUUCAACUUUUAAAUUCCU